rnacentral:rRNA from 1 species
CGGGGGGAGCAAGCGUUGUUCGGAUUUACUGGGCGUAAAGGGCGCGUAGGCGGCACCGCAAGUCGACUGUGAAAUCUCCGGGCUUAACUCGGAAAGGUCAGCCGAUACUGCGGGGCUAGAGUGCAGAAGGGGCAACUGGAAUUCUCGGUGUAGCGGUGAAAUGCGUAGAUAUCGAGAGGAACACCUGCGGCGAAGGCGGGUUGCUGGGCUGACACUGACGCUGAUGCGCGAAAGCUAGGGGAGCGAACGGGAUUAGAUACCCCGGUAGUCCUAGCCUUAGACGAUGAAUGCUUGGUGUCUGGGGUUUUAUAGUCCCCGGGUGCCGUCGCUAACGCUUUAAGCAUUCCGCCUGGGGAGUACGGUCGCAAGACUG